AGGGAUAACAUCACUAGACUUAAGGACUAAUAGAAAAUAGAGGGAGACGAGAACUCAGCUUUUAGAGAAGGCGGGGCUGCUGCCCUGUUCGUUCAGACAGAGAUACGUCCAGUGGGCGGCAACUCGCGGGGACAGAAGCAUCGUCGGCGUCGAGCGGUGAAAGGCAGACGACUCCCGACCUCACGACGACCCUCGCCGAUUCUGGACCAGCAGCAGCGUGGCUGAACCGAGAGGGGACGACGCCGGGGUUAGACACGGAGACAGCCGACGCCGGACGGAGCUGGCGGAAGCUGAACGGCCGGGG
rnacentral:lncRNA from 1 species